rnacentral:rRNA from 1 species
GUGGGGAAUCUUCCGCAAUGGACGAAAGUCUGACGGAGCAACGCCGCGUGAACGAUGACGGCCUUCGGGUUGUAAAGUUCUGUUAUACGGGACGAAUGGUACGACGGUCAAUACCCGUCGUAAGUGACGGUACCGUAAGAGAAAGCCACGGCUAACUACGUGCCAGCAGCCGCGGUAAUACGUAGGUGGCAAGCGUUGUCCGGAAUUAUUGGGCGUAAAGGGCGCGCAGGCGGCGUCGUAAGUCGGUCUUAAAAGUGCGGGGCUUAACCCCGUGAGGGGACCGAAACUGCGAUGCUAGAGUAUCGGAGAGGAAAGCGGAAUUCCUAGUGUAGCGGUGAAAUGCGUAGAUAUUAGGAGGAACACCAGUGGCGAAAGCGGCUUUCUGGACGACAACUGACGCUGAGGCGCGAAAGCCAGGGGAGCAAACGGGAUUAGAUACCCUAGUAGUCC